rnacentral:rRNA from 1 species
GACGAACGCUGGCGGCGUGCCUAAUACAUGCAAGUAGAACGCACAGUUUAUACCGUAGCUUGCUACACCAUAGACUGUGAGUUGCGAACGGGUGAGUAACGCGUAGGUAACCUGCCUGGUAGCGGGGGAUAACUAUUGGAAACGAUAGCUAAUACCGCAUAAUAUUGAUUAUUGCAUGAUAAUUAAUUGAAAGGUGCAAUUGCACCACUACCAGCUGGACCUGCGUUGUAUUAGCUAGUAGGUGAGGUAACGGCUCACCUAGGCGACGAUACAUAGCCGACCGGAGAGGGUGAUCGGCCACACUGGGACUGAGACAGGGCCCAGACGCCUACGGGAGGCAGCAGUAGGGAAUCGUCGGCAAUGGACGAAAGUCUGACCGAGAAAGGCCGCGUGAGUGAAGAAGGUUUUCGGAUCGUAAAGCUCGGUUGUAAGAGAAGAACGGGUGUGAGAGUGGAAAGUUCACACUGUGACGGUAUCUUAACAGAAAGGGACGGCUAACUACGUG